AACGAACGCUGGCGGCAUGCCUAACACAUGCAAGUCGAACGAGACCUUCGGGUCUAGUGGCGCACGGGUGCGUAACGCGUGGGAACCUGCCCUUAGGUUCGGAAUAACUCCCCGAAAGGGGUGCUAAUACCGGAUAAUGUCCUCGGACCAAAGAUUUAUCGCCUUUGGAUGGGCCCGCGUUGGAUUAGCUAGUUGGUAGGGUAAAAGCCUACCAAGGCGACGAUCCAUAGCUGGUCUGAGAGGAUGAUCAGCCACACUGGGACUGAGACACGGCCCAGACUCCUACGGGAAGCAGCAGUGGGGAAUAUUGGACAAUGGGCGAAAGCCUGAUCCAGCAAUGCCGCGUGAGUGAUGAAGGCCUUAGGGUUGUAAAGCUCUUUUACCCGGGAUGAUAAUGACAGUACCGGGAGAAUAAGCUCCGGCUAACUCCGUG
rnacentral:rRNA from 1 species